rnacentral:tRNA from 1 species
GAGGUAUUAGUAAAAAUUAC